GACGACGCUGGCGGCGUGCCUAAUACAUGCAAGUAGGACGAGUUGCGAACGGGUGAGUAACGCGUGGUAACCUACCUAUUAGAGGGGGAUAACUAUUGGAAACGAUAGCUAAUACCGCAUACUAGUAGAUGGACGUGCGUUGUAUUAGCUAGUAGGUGGGGUAAUGGCCUACCUAGGCAACGAUACAUAGCCGACCGUGACGGAUGACCAGCCACAUCGGAACUGGUACACGGUCCAGACUCCUACGGUAGGCAGCAUGUGGGAAUAUUGCCCAAUGGGCGCAAGCCUUAUGCAGCCAUUCCGCGUGUAUGAAGAAGGCCUUCGGGUUGUAAAGUACUUUCAGCGAGGAGGCGUUACUCGCAGAAGAAGCACCGGCUAACUCCGUGCCAGCAGCCGCGGUAAUAC
rnacentral:rRNA from 1 species